UAGAGUUUGAUCCCUGGCUCAGGAUGAACGCUGGCGGCGUGCCUAAUACAUGCAAGUCGAGCGAACUGAUUAGAAGCUUGCUUCUAUGACGUUAGCGGCGGACGGGUGAGUAACACGUGGGCAACCUGCCUGUAAGACUGGGAUAACUUCGGGAAACCGAAGCUAAUACCGGAUAGGAUCUUCUCCUUCAUGGGAGAUGAUUGAAAGAUGGUUUCGGCUAUCACUUACAGAUGGGCCCGCGGUGCAUUAGCUAGUUGGUGAGGUAACGGCUCACCAAGGCAACGAUGCAUAGCCGACCUGAGAGGGUGAUCGGCCACACUGGGACUGAGACACGGCCCAGACUCCUACGGGAGGCAGCAGUAGGGAAUCUUCCGCAAUGGACGAAAGUCUGACGGAGCAACGCCGCGUGAGUGAUGAAGGCUUUCGGGUCGUAAAACUCUGUUGUUAGGGAAGAACAAGUACGAGAGUAACUGCUCGUACCU
rnacentral:rRNA from 2 species